CAGAAACUGAAGAGCAAGAGUAGUAAGUAAAAAAGGGUAUUCCAGAGAGCCGCUAGAUGGUGGAAAUGCGGUAAUACACGAUUUUUCCGAAUGGACUUGCGAGGGCGGCUUGAAACCGAAUGGGAGUAGAUGCCGACGGGAACCCUGUCCGUUAUCAGUGGGGUACGCAUGAUGGUGCGUAAAAAAGUGGGUAAAUCGGAAAUGAUUUAUCAAUUUGGGUGGUACCGCAGAAGUGAAAGCUUUUGUCCCUUUC
rnacentral:ncRNA from 1 species